CUCCAAGCUACAAAGAGCCAACGGUGGAUGCCUUGGCGCCUGAAGCCGAUGAAGGACGUGGGAGGCUGCGUUAAGCCACGGGGAGCUGCCGACCAAGCGUCGAUCCGUGGAUAUCCGAAUGGGGAAACCCGGCACCCGUCAUGGGGUGUCACUCCGGUCUGAACACAUAGGACCGGUAGAGGGAACCGGGGGAAUUGAAACAUCUGAGUACCCCGAGGAGAGGAAAGCAACAGCGACUCCCUGAGUAGCGGCGAGCGAAAAGGGAUCAGCCUAAACCGUGCCGGUGUCAAAGCCUGGUGGCGUUGCCGGUACGGGGUCGUGGGAGACAGCAGGAGGGGCACCAGACCCUCAGCAGAGUUACAAAUCCUCGAGCUAGUGGAAGCGUUCUGGAACGUCGUUCCGUAGAGGGUAAGAGACCCGUACACGAAAGCUCUGAGGACUCUGGCUGUUUUCCCAAGUAGCGCCGGAUCCGGGAAAGCCGGUGUGAAUCUGCGAGGACCACCUCGUAAGGCUAAGUACUGUCAGGCGACCGAUAGCGGACAAGUACCGUGAGGGAAAGGUGAAAAGUACCCCGGGAGGGGAGUGAAAUAGUACCUGAAACCGUUGGCUUACAAUCAGUCAGAGCGUAGCUGGCGCCCACCCGCGCGUGUGCCAAGUCGCUUCGGCGACGCGGCCGCCGCACGUGGGCCUACGCCAGCCGUGAUGGCGUGCCUUUUGAAGAAUGAGCCAGGGAGUUACCGUGUGUGGCGAGGUUAACCCGGGAGGGGUAGCCGGAGCGAAAGCGAGUCUGAAUAGGGCGUACAGUCGCAUGCGGUAGACCCGAAGCCGAGUGAUCUAUCCAUGGGCAGGCUGAAGCGGGGGUAAGACUCCGUGGAGGGCCGAACCCACCCUGGUUGAAAACAGGGGGGAUGACCUGUGGAUAGGGGUGAAAGGCCAAUCAAACUCGGUGAUAGCUGGUUCUCCCCGAAAUGCAUUUAGGUGCAGCGUCAGACGUUCAGCAUCGGAGGUAGAGCACUGAAUGGGCUAGGGGGCCUACAAGCUUACCGACCCCAAUCAAACUCCGAAUGCCGAUGCUCCAGAGUCUGGCAGUGAGACCACGGGGGAUGAGCUCCGUUGGUCGAGAGGGAAACAGCCCAGACCGCCAGCUAAGGCCCCUAAUUCUUGGCUAAGUGGAAAACGAUGUGGGAACGCGAAAACAGCCAGGAGGUUGGCUCAGAAGCAGCCAUCCUUGAAAGAGUGCGUAAUAGCUCACUGGUCGAGUGGUCCUGCGCGGACAAUGUAACGGGGCUCAAGCCAAGAGCCGAAGCUGCGGAUUUCCGGUCCGCCUGCCAACGCGCCGCUUGCGGCGCAGCGGUGGGAGCACGGGCUGGGAGUGGUAGGGGAGCGUCGAGCGUGCCGGGAAGCGGUGGUGUGAACCGUCGUGGAGCGCGCUCGAGUGCGAAUCCUGGUAUGAGUAGCGAAAGAGGGGUGAGAAACCCCUCCGCCGUAUGCCCAAGGGUUCCUGGGGAAGGCUAAUCCACCCAGGGUGAGUCGGGAGCUAAGGCGAGGCCGUAAGGCGUAGUCGAUGCACAACCGGUUGAUAUUCCGGUACCACUGUGCCCGCGCCCAACCCAAGUCGGGUUACCUUAGGGGCUGGCCUUCGGGCCGAACCGAAAGGUUCCGAGGAGGGUAGCGAGGGGGAGACGCAGGAGGGUAGGUGAGCCCAGGCGUUGGUUGUCCUGGGGUAAGCGUGUAGGGAGAGGUCCAGGCAAAUCCGGACCUCGUUAAUCCUGAGGCGCGAUGCCGAGCCGUUCAGGUGAAGUCACUGAGCCCAUGCUGUCAAGAAAAUCCCCUAGCGAGCUGGCACGGUGCCCGUACCCCAAACCGACACAGGUGGGCGGGUAGAGAAUACCAAGGCGAUCGGGAGAACUGUGGUUAAGGAACUCGGCAAAUUGCCUCCGUAACUUCGGAAGAAGGAGGACCCCGCCAGGGUGACGGACUUCGCGUCCCGAGCUCGAGGGGGUCGCAGAGAAACGGGGGAAGCGACUGUUUACUAAAAACACAGGAGCGUGCAAAGUCGUAAGACGACGUAUACGCUCUGACGCCUGCCCGGUGCCGGAAGGUUACGGGGAAGGGUUAGCCUUCGGGCAAAGCUCUGAACCUAAGCCCCGGUAAACGGCGGCCGUAACUAUAACGGUCCUAAGGUAGACCCCUCGGAUUCGUGCCCGAGGGCUGCCCCUUGCGGAAGUGAUUCCGUAAGUGCAACUGGCUAUAUGCUGGAAACUCCGUGUAUCCGGCGGUACUCGUUCGCGUUACACCCUGGCAAUAGGGUGGUGAUGUGAACAGUGACAAUCCGUCCGGUGCGGACAAUCAGCAGGAAAGGCCUGGUUUCGCGGAGUGGGUGGUCGGCUUCGUGGACGGUGAAUGCAAUCGAUGAUUUGCAGCUCUCGAUUGUUCCGUUCUUCGAGGAACAUCCACUGCUUACGGCGAAAGCUGGCGAUUUCGUGAAGUUUGCACACGUGGUGCGUAUGAUGCGUGGCAGGAGCCACCUGACUUUGGCAGGCCUGUCACAGAUCGCACGCAUCGCGCAGACGAUGAAUCGGCAGCAGCCGUCGCGAUUCCUUGAAUCCUCAGAGGCCAUACGCCAGUCAUCUCGUCACGACCGGUGAGAUGAAGAUAUGGUCCUAGCCCCAUGGCGACAUGGGGAUUACUAGAGCGAAAUUCCUUGUCGGGUAAGUUCCGACCUGCACGAAUGGCGUAACGACUUCCCCGCUGUCUCAACCACAGACCCGGCGAAAUUGAAGUACGAGUAAAGAUGCUCGUUAGCUGCAUCAGGACGGAAAGACCCCGUGGACCUUUACUGCAGCUUGAUGUUGAGCUUUGGUACGGAUUGUGUAGGAUAGGUGGGAGCCUUUGAAGCUCCGGCGCUAGCCGGGGUGGAGGCAACCUUGAAAUACCACCCUUUUCGUGCCGGGGCCCUAACCUAGGUCCGUGAUCCGGAUCGGGGACAGCGUCAGGUGGGUAGUUUGACUGGGGCGGUCGCCUCCUAAAAUGUAACGGAGGCGCCCAAAGGUUCCCUCAGGCUGGUUGGCAAUCAGCCGUCGAGUGCAAUGGCACAAGGGAGCUUGACUGCGAGACAUACAGGUCGAGCAGGUGCGAAAGCAGGGCAUAGUGAUCCAGCGGUGGCUUGUGGAAGCGCCGUUGCUCAACGGAUAAAAGGUACCCCGGGGAUAACAGGCUCAUCUUCCCCAAGAGUCCAUAUCGACGGGAAGGUUUGGCACCUCGAUGUCGGCUCGUCGCAUCCUGGGGCUGAAGCCGGUCCCAAGGGUUGGGCUGUUCGCCCAUUAAAGCGGUACGCGAGCUGGGUUUAGAACGUCGUGAGACAGUUCGGUCCCUAUCCGAUGCAGCCGUAGGAGAUUUGAGGAAGGCUGUCCCUAGUACGAGAGGACCGGGACGGACGCAGCUCUCGUGUGCCAGUUGUCCUGCCAAGGGCACGGCUGGUUUGCGACCUGCGGAUGGGAUAAGCGCUGAAAGCAUCUAAGCGCGAAGCUCGUUCCGAGAUGAGAUCUCCCACAGGGUUAACCUGGUAAGGCCCGUGGCCAGACGACCACGUUGAUAGGCCGGAGGUGUAAGCACGGCAACGUGUUCAGCCGACCGGUACUAAUCGGCCGAGGGUUUGGAGAC
rnacentral:rRNA from 1 species